ACCGCCACCCCAGUUCUGACACCCAGCCCCUAACGCACCCACCCACCUGGCACACUCAUCUCUCCUGCCCCCCUACCCCCACCCCUAGGAGAGGGGAUUCCAGGUUGUGGCUGGGGAGGGAAGGAACCUUCAGCAGAUUAAGCAGGAAGGCCGGGAGCCAGGACGCCUGGGUUCUCUCCCCGGCUCUGGGAGAGGAGCGGGGGCUGGUGGUUAGAGGAGGGGGGGGCUGGGAGCCAGGACUCCUGGGUUCUCUCCCCGGCUCUGGGAGGGGAGUGGGGGCUGGUGGUUAGAGCAGGGGGGGCUGGGAGCCAGGACUCCUGGGUUCUCUCCCCGGCUCUGGGAGGGGAGUGGGGGCUGGUGGUUAGAGCAGUGGGGGCUGGGAGCCAGGACUCCUGGGUUCUCUCCCUCAGUCCCGCAGGGUCAGAGCCAGCGCCUCACGGAUCUCAGCCGCGGCGCCCUCCUCUCCCUCUCCGUCCUCGAAGGGCUCUUCCUCCUCCUCCUCUUCCUCCACCAUCCAGCGGGGCUGGAAGACGUCGCCGUGCAUCUCGCAGACGUUGUGGAGGGUGGAGCAGGCGGCGAUCAGGGUGGGCAGGAAAGAGACGUCGGUGUCGUUGCGUUUCUGCAGGCAGCGCCAGCGACCCCUGAGGCGCCCGAAGGCCACCCCCACCACGGUGCGGGCGGCGGCGGCGUACUCGUUAAACCGCCUCUGGGCCGGCGUGAGCUCCCCGGCCCGGUAAGGCCUCAUCAGCCAGGGCAGCAGCGGGUAGGACGGGCCGGCCAGCAGGUAGACGGGCACCUGGACGCCUGCCACCUCCCGGGCCGCCCCGGGGAAGAGCUCCCCCCGCUGGGCGCGCUGGUAGAGCUCGGAGGCCCGCAGCACCUGGGCGUUGGUCUGCCUCCCGGGGCAGCCGACGUUGACGUCCCAGAAGCAGCCGCGGGCGUCGACGGCGGCCUGCAGCACCACCGAGUGCCAGCCCCGGCGGUUGAAGUACCCGGCGGCGUUCUCGUUGGGGGCCCGGAUGGGGAUGUGCAGGGCCCCCAGCACCCCGGCCAGCUGCGGCGGGGCGGGGAANNNNNNNNNNNNNNGCGGCGGGGCGGGGAAGCCGGCGGCCCGGGGCCCGGCCGGGGCGGCCACGUAGGCCGGGGUGAGGAUGGCCACCACGGCCUCGCAGACGUCGCGCAGGAUCUUGCAGACGGUGGAGCGGGAGACGCCGAACUGCUGCUCCACGGCCCGGUACUCGGUGCAGGCCCCCAGGCGCCAGAGGGUCAUGGCCAGGCGCACCUCGGCGGGGAUGGCCCGGCGCAUGUUGGUGUCCCGCCGCUGGAUGGCCCCCCGCAGGCGCCCGCAGAGGUAGUCGAAGGUGGCCGGGCCCAGGCGGAAGUUCUCGGCCCACUCGCCGGGCCCGAAGGCCUUGGCCCGCACCGUGUCCCAGAAGGCCGAGCUGCG
rnacentral:lncRNA from 1 species